UCCUAGUCUGAUGAGUGCUCUUAUCAAAGA
rnacentral:piRNA from 1 species